GACGAACGCUGGCGGCGUGCCUAAUACAUGCAAGUCGAACGGUCUUUUCUAUGGAAGUUUGCUUCCACUGAGAAGAUAGUGGCGAACGGGUGAGUAACACGUGGGUAACCUGCCCAUAAGAGGGGGAUAACAUCCGGAAACGGGUGCUAAUACCGCAUAGUUUUUCUGAUCGCAUGAUCGGGAAAGGUAAGACGGCCUUUGUGCUGUCUCUUAGUGAUGGGCCCGCGGCGUAUUAGUUAGUUGGUGAGGUAACGGCUCACCAAGACGAUGAUACGUAGCCGACCUGAGAGGGUGAUCGGCCACAUUGGGACUGAGACACGGCCCAAACUCCUACGGGAGGCAGCAGUAGGGAAUCUUCCGCAAUGGACGAAAGUCUGACGGAGCAACGCCGCGUGAGUGAAGAAGGUUUUCGGAUCGUAAAACUCUGUUGUCAGAGAAGAACAAGUCGGAGAGUAACUGCUCCGGCCUUGACGGUAUCUCACCAGAAAGCCACGGCUAACUACGUGCCAGCCGCCGCCGUAACAC
rnacentral:rRNA from 1 species